rnacentral:misc_RNA from 1 species
UCUUGUCGACGCUUCUGAGAAGCGCGGCACGCUGUGUGAUCGUCACGACCGUCAUUUGCUUCUCUUUUGCGCGAAUGAGCGCCUUGGCCAGCGCCCGCUCACCAUUCGCGUCGAGAUUGGAGUUCGGUUCAUCGAGAACCAUCAGGCGCGGAUUGCCAUAAAACGCACGUGCGAGCCCAAUUCGCUGCCUUUGGCCACCGGACAACGGGCUUCCAUCCAUGC